GGGGAAUGUCAUUAACCUCCAGAAGAAGGUGAAGGAAUUCAGAGUCUUGAGUGAAAUUCAGCUCCUCCGGGAGGCUGCAGAUAAAUUCCAUAUUCAGCCCCAGGACCAGUUUUGGGCUUUGUUUCAGGCCGUGGAGCAGCUCAGUGAGAAUGAGAGCUACACCCUGUCCUGCCAGCUGGAGCCCCUACCCACCCCCCACUCCCGCC